UUUUUGUCUACUGCUGUUGCUGUUGGCAUUUUGCGUGUUUCUUUAUUGUUUUUGUUGUGCAGUGUGUGUGUGUGUGUGUGUGUGUGCGAAUGCUUUAGUAGCAAACUCUUUAGCAGUCAUCUAGCCAACCAUUAAUGUCUCUCUUGUCUGCGUGUUUGGUAA